GCCCCUGUCCUCCAGGCCCUCUUCCUCCAGACCCUCGUCCUCCAGGCCCCUGUUCCUCCAGACCCUCGUCCUCCAGACCCUCAUUCUCCAGGCCCCCGUCCUCCAGGCUCCAUCCUCCAGGGCUCCUCUGGGUCCGGGUCAAGUACCUCCAGGCUCUCUGCUGACUGUUCACCACUGGGCAACCACAGGGACUCGAUCCAUGAAAACUCUGGCAAGGUCAGUUUCCUUGUUCUACAUCCCUGUCACUUUAGUCACCAUCAUGAUAUAAGUGACUGAGUCAUUGUUUUCUCUCAUAUUCCCACCCACCUCUCCUCUCUGCUUCCUCCCCAUCAACUCGACUUCCCACCGCUCACUGCAGCCCCUUCAGGAUUCCUGCUGCGACCACCUGACCCAUGCAAAAGAGACCACUUCUCAGCCUCUCUCACUCUCCUGGCCCUGGCGGAAGCCUGUGUUGUCAUAGGCAUGCUUCCCUGGAAUCCUGCUCAGGCCCCCACGCAGGGACACUGAGUGCCCACAGAGUUGGGAAACCAUUACACGAGAUGGGACGUCUGCAAUAGAGUGGCAUCGCUAGUUGAAAGUGGAGCUGUUCACAACCUCCACAACUGUACUUGGUGGCCACGUCCCCAUCACAUGGGCUCAGACUGGGGGCUGGACAUUGACUUUGAGCCCCAAGUCUUCACCCUCAUGCAAAAACCAUCCUCCUUGGAGAUGCAGGCUGGGAAGGGCGCCAUGUCCGGAGUCCCUGCCCUGCUGUCAUCUGCCGACCUUUGUGCAGCCUGUCCCUUUCGUUAAGAAUUUCAGCACUGAGUUCACUGUGUUCCUUGUCAUGCUAAGACUUGGCCACAUCCCAGCCAUCUUCAACAUGGCGGUCGAUGUUUCAUCAAAAUUCACAGUCGCUCAGAUUUUAUUUUUCCUCAUCUCUAGGAACUUCCAUCUCCACUCCACUUCUGCCACUUCUGCCACCCUCCCAUGACCACACUCAGAACUUGAGCUCCACCUCUGAAAGAGGCAGAAUUGCCUUAUCUCACACAGUGGUGACAGCACUCUGUAAUAAUCUGCAUGGGCCAGGGCUCCUUGGUUGCAGGUAACAGAUACCACUGUUACGGCCCAACUCUGUUCUUCUAUGUUGAAGCCGGAACCCCCAGCGCCUCAGAAUGGGAUCACAUCUGGAGAAGGCGCCUUUAAAGAGAACCCAUCGUAUAAAAAGGCCAUACCUUCUGGAGGGACGUCGAUGGUAUUAGGAUAGAAGCACCAGGGGACCCCACGAACGGUGUCGUCGAAACAGCAGCCCUUAUUUGCACACUGGGAGGGCGUGACACCAGGAAAACCACAAUUCUGUCUUUCACGGGGGGCCACUGUACACGUCUCUGAAAGUGCACAGGUAAGAAGCAAAGUAAGUUGUGGGCUGAAUUCCUUGAUGUUAUCAUGCACACACCCAUCCAGCUUCCUUCUCCAAUGACAUCAGCAACUGUCCAGUGAGGCGGAUAUAAAACCCUCAGGACAUGAGAGGGAGACGUGGUCCUCACAUCCUGAUGUGCAAACAUUACGCUCAGGGAAAAUGCAAGGUGCCCCAGGUUUGUGGACUUUGCAUCUUUCUAGGUAACUUAUUUAUUCACUUUUUAAUUUCAACAAAUGAUUAUUAAAUUUUACUCAAUACAUAAAUAUUUACUGAGCACCAUUUGUGUGCAUGAGAAGUGGGAGCUAGCAUGGCAAAAGCCAGGCACUGUGCCAGGUGAGAGAGACCCAGAAAUUAAAACCAGAGAAGUCAUUAAUAAGAGUCUAAAUAUCUGGGCCCAGGCUCAUGCCUGUAAUCCCAGCACUUUGGGAGGCUGAAGGAGGUGAAUCACUUGAGGUCAGGAGUUCAAGACCAGCCUGACCAAAAUGGUGAAGCCCCAUCUCUACUAAAAAUACAAAAAAUUAGGCGGGCAUUGUGGCACACGUCUGUAAUCCCAGCUACUUGGGAGGCUGAGGCAGGAGAAUCACUUGAACCCAGGAGGCAGAGGUUGUAGUGAGCCAAGAUCGCACCAUUGCACUCCAGCCUGAGUGACAGAGCAAGACUCCAUCUCAAAAAAAAAAAAAAAAGAGUCUAAGGAUCUGAUGGAGGAGAAAGGCAAGAACAUGUGCGAGACAACGCAAGGCCAUCGUCCCAGGGUGCCCAGGGUAACCACGGGGGUAGGGCACUCCCCGGAGAGGCCAAUGACAAGCAGGUUGAACAAAGCAGGGGGGCUCCCUGCAGGAGGAGGUUCACCAGGUGAAGAUGGAGCCGCAUGGGCAAAGGCCAUUCCAGAGACCCAGGUGUGUUCAGGAGGUGGAAACCCAUUGCAGGUAAGGUGAGAGGACCGGGUGGGGUGGUCUAGGAGGAGCCGACAGAGGGUACAAGCUGUGAAACAGCUUGAAGCAGGGCAGUGAGGAAAGGGAUCUAGAGGAGGAAGACACGUGGACAGAUGGGGCUGGCUGGGGGCUGCCGCAGGAUCUUAUGCAAGAGGUUCUAACACCAGAGCUUCAGGCUCUGAGCUCCGCGGAAUCAAAGGUCUCAGAAAGCAACCUAUUAGGAUCUGGUGGUUGACAGCCUGCAGCAGGGGGUGAAAGAGGAGCCCAGAGCACCCUCCGGUCCCUGUCCCUGCCUUGGGGCAUAGGAGGGGAGGAACUCAGUCUGGCCACACUGGCUCAGGUGAGGGCGCCCCAGGGGAGGCCGAGAGGGGCUGUUCUCUUGUCUGCUUUGCUAUCAGGGACUGCCUCGAGAUGUCUUUGGAGAAAGUGUUCCUGGCUUGCUGGGAAGGAUCCGUGUUCAGCUCCCGCUGCCCAGCAGCUUCCAUGGGAACCUUGCCCUCCUGGGGUCUGGAUCCAUCGCGACGUGAAGGUGAUCAUCGCCCACCCCCGGGACACUGUGGGGGUCAAGAGAGGCCCCGUGGUGAGGGAGGAUCAUCAUCCUGGGGGUCGGGGGGGUUUCCUCCUCAGGGAGGAAGAUUUCCAGCCCCGGUGCUCUGCCUCCGGCAGACUCUGUCUUGCCCACCCGCUUUGUCUUUGUCGCAUGAUGGAAAUAAAUGGAAAUGGUUUCCACACACGAAUGCA